UGUAUCUGAAGUCUGACGAGGAUGAGAACCUCCGGGGGCAAGAGGUUCGACUCGAGCGAAGCUAGAGAACGUUGCGUCAGCAACGGCCCGCAGGGCGAGCCACGCAGUGGCGAGUCAUCCUCUAUCACCGACCA
rnacentral:sRNA from 1 species